rnacentral:rRNA from 1 species
ACGAACGCUGGCGGCGUGCUUCACACAUGCAAGUCGAACGGUGAAGCGCCUUCCUUUUUGGUGGGUGUGGAUGAGUGGCGAACGGGUGAGUAACACGUGAGUAACCUGCCCCCUUCUUCUGGAUAACCGCAUGAAAGUGUGGCUAAUACGGGAUAUUCUGGGUCUGUCGCAUGGUGGGUCUGGGAAAGAUAUUGUUUCGGUGGGGGAUGGGCUCGCGGCCUAUCAGCUUGUUGGUGGGGUGAUGGCCUACCAAGGCGGUGACGGGUAGCCGGCCUGAGAGGGUGGACGGUCACACUGGGACUGAGACACGGCCCAGACUCCUACGGGAGGCAGCAGUGGGGAAUAUUGCACAAUGGGCGCAAGCCUGAUGCAGCGACGCCGCGUGAGGGAUGGAGGCCUUCGGGUUGUGAACCUCUUUCGCCAGUGAAGCAGGCCUGCCUCGUUUGUGGGUGGGUUGACGGUAGCUGGAUAAGAAGCGCCGGCUAACUACGUG